AUUCUGCAGAUUUUAGUUUAGUGUUGCAAAAUAAAGCACUGUGACAUAAGAAAAACACUCUUGCCUUGGAGGGAGAAGUAAAAGAUCUCAGUAAAAAGAAGUAAGUUUCUCCUCUCCACCUACACUUCAGUACAUAUGCUUUGUUUGUAUUACACAUACCUGUGCAUGUGCUGGAGUAUUCCUUGGAUUAUAAGGGACACAUCCACAGAGUAGAAAUCUACUCGGUGCCAUUAAAUGCAAAGAAGUUUCAUUUGGUACUCAAAAUCCUUUAUCUGAAAAUAUCUCUAGACCAGGAACAUCAUAUUAGGACCCAAACUAUCAUAUAUGAUUGCCUUGUUUCUACUUUUCCCUAGGUAUUGUCAUGUGGAAAUUUCUGGAGCCAAUAAUGUGGAUCCUGGACUACCAUUCUCGUUAAGCACAUGCAGUGGUUCCUUUUCAGGAUGCAGAAUGCUAUACAAGUGUCUACACAGAUCAGAAAAGUUGAGUCUUACAAGACCAAAGGAACUGCAAUUUGCCACUGGGCGUACAAUGCUUUAGCCACUAAAACCCAUAAAAGUCCAGUUGAAUCGAGGCAUCUACAGCUCAGUAUGUUGUUUCCUAAUGAUAGACUUCAAGUAUCAGUAUUUAGUUGGAUUGGUUAUAUCCUAAGCAGUGAGAAUGGAAGAACGUGUUUAUCAGAAGGACAUCUCCAAAUUAUCAGAAGGACAUCUCCAAACCAUGUGAAAGAAAUAUCAGUCUGAAAAUAUACAUUCACCAACUCUAGCAACUUUUUCCCCUCUGAUUAUCAAUUAAUGCCCUAGUCAGCAAUGAACCUUAUUUUGUAUCAGACAUUGCACAUGGAAGCAAGAAAGCAAGAAAAACUGCAGCACCUUACUCCAGGGUAAGUAUCUAAAGUCACUUCCAGAAGAACUGAAGAGCUGAAAUGAGAAAGACUGAAUGAGCAUUAGACAUCUGCAAUUCAGAUUAGCCUGAAGUUUUAAUUGCUAUGUUAUCAGAAAUAAGUGCAUUUCAUUGAGCAGUAGCUGUUCAGGAAGACUUGGAGUCAUCAAUGGUAUAUCAUAACGAUGAUGACUUCAUCUCUCCAAAGGGUAUUAGCAAGGAUUCAUUUCAACCUGUCAUUCUAAAAAUGGUGAUACAAGAGUCAACAGUACUUUUCCAGUUUUGCUAUUACUUCACAAGCUAGUUGCAAAUCAAAUGAAUCUUUUCAACAUCUUUAGAAAGAACACGUGGCCCUUCAUCCUCUAAUUGUCCUGAAAUGUCUCCCCCUAAUGUGUCCACAUGUGCCUACAUAUGUGUGAGGGAAAGGAGGAGAAUAUCAAAAUGUAGGCUAAUUUUCUUUUAAUUUUCAAAAUCUCCAAAGUUUUGAUGUGUCUGGAUUGCAUUCUUGUUUUGAUUUAUGACUGUGUAGGUGGAAGGGUGCAGCUGCUCUGAAAUUCCAGUCAUGAUUCUUACCCAAAUAUAGACUAUCUGAAGUGAAUGCUUUUUGAAUCAAGCCAAUUUUUAAUUGGUGAAUUUCAGUAACUGUUGAAAUUAACCAUCUUCAGGACAAUAAGAGACAAAUGACAUGGAGGAUCCAGGGCUGCCUUGUAGCAAGGACCAAAACGAGAUGGGAAUGCAUGAGUAUCAGUAAGUAUCCAUUAAAGAGCACUGUCCAGAGAAAAAGAGAAUUACUCUUUGAUUAAAGAAUAGGAGUAGCCUGAAGCCAGGUAGAGAUAUACAGUUGAGAUAUGACAAGACAGAGAUUCCAUUCCCUAUUUGAAGUUUUGAAACCCUACACAGGCUGAUUAAUUUCUCUGCAAGACAGUGCAUGCAAUGGGAGUGUCAGAGGCAGCUUACAUAGUAGGGAGCUUGUUGAGUUUGAGGAAAGAGAAAAGGAUUGUUUCCUGGCUCAUACUGUUCCCUUUUUAUUCCACGUGGGUCACUUUUAUUUUACAAAAUAAAUAAAUAAAGACCCCACCAUCCCCCCCAAAAAACAACCAACCAGAAACAAACAAACAAAAACAAUGAACAAGCCCUUCUUUGCUAUCUCAUCUUAUCCCACAUACUCAUAUCCAAGCGGUACAAGCAAUAAGGAAUUUCUUAUUUUCUAUUUUGAGGACUGUGCAGUUGUCUUUUCCAGGUGUCAAGAAAAAACAUCCUUUUCAUCUGAAUUUAACAGAUCAGUUGAGCUAGUGGAUUUUUCCCUGAUUUCCUCUGAACAUAAGACAUCCAAUUAUGUGAUACAAAUGUAUGUUCUCAACCACAGAACCCACAGAGUUUGUUGUGAAAUAGUGGCAUCACUUGAUAGUUCAAUUACAGACAGGUCUUGCUUCUUCUGUUAUCUAUAAUACACAAUUAUGCCCACAGUAACCAUGGCUAAGAUAACACAAAUCUUAACUGUGACCAAGUCUCUCAUCACAAGGUGAUCAGGAGCAAUGCCAGGUGUUUAAGCCCCCACUGCUCAGUAAUCAUGGCAAGCAUAUUUCCUGAGUAAAGAUAUGGCUACCACCAGGGACCGGAUUUAACAUAAAAUGUACACAUAAGACAGCAACAACUGUUGUUUGAGCAUCCUUCCCUUAGCACACAUCCUGAAAGGUAAAGCAGAGCUCCGUGUAUGGUAAGCUGCUAGACUGAGGGAAAGGACAGAGCUUUCCAUUUCUCAGCUAACAAACGCAGGUGACCCGAGUUUUCUAGGAUAUUGGAGACAUGGUCAUACAACUAAUCACUCACAUGAGCUUGUGGUGCUUGGAAGCCAUUGCUGCAGAGUUCAUGCUACAGCUCUGGGAAGGCAAUAAAUGUUGUAUUGGAGGGUAUUCUGGCUGCCAUAUGAGCCAUCACUUACAGUUCAUAAAGCUAUGCAGUAAUUCAAAUGAUUUGCAGGGGACAGGGGUAUAACUGCCAAUCUUCUAAAGUUGUUUGAAGCUGAUUACUAGGGAAUUCCUGCAGUUUCAAUAGCAACUGCUGUGUGAUGUCUAUAGCUGGACAUUUCAAAACAUUUUCAUUGUGAGUUGCAAGUCCCUUAGGUCUAGUAAUAAAUUUUUAUGAGGAUUAAAUUACAUAGGGAUCUAACAGUUAUGUCUGUUGUUUACUCUUGAAAUUGAGAAGUAAAAGAAAAUGAAAAUAACGUGGUUGCUCACCUUUGAUUUUAAUAAUUAUAAUAAGAGUUCCCCUGUGUAGCUUGGAUGUCUUGGAGUAUUUUGGGUCAAACUAGUACUUGUAAAGUGAAAAUGGCAGUAAAAAUAUUGCAGAUAAGAACAUCAUAGAAGUCUAUAUUAAGUGACUCUUUAAUCUCUCAAAAUAUUUUUGAUCAUCAAAUGAGGAUGCUUAAAGAAUAUGGGAGUUCAGUAAUACACCAAGCAAAUGAAAAUUAAAACUAAACAAGGAAAUUCUCUUAGAUAAUUUCUGUCACUAAGAUGUUCUUUUUUUUUUUUUUUUUUAUUGGUAGUUACCUUGUAUGUUAAGA
ensembl:lncRNA